CAAGAGUUGAUUCGUUAAUUCGUCGAAGUACUAUAAAACUACAUAAAACAUUUCCCGUACAUUUUUAGGGAAUGCUGCACUUCAGCAGUUCUUGGUCGCAUAUAAAUUCGUGUCAUUCGAAUUAUGUAAAACUGCCUGUCGGGAAAAUAUCCUUCUAAUUUUCACUUGUUUUGCUUUUGUAGAGCUUUCGAUGUAUCUAUUGAGCAAUUGUUCCUGCAAGAAGAUGAAAUGGUGUACUCGUCGGGAUAUGAGCCAUUAAUGAAGGAUAUAAAUUUGAGCCAAGAACACUGACAUGGAGAUUACCAGCCAUCUACGUUAUAUUCCUUUAGCUUCCCUGGAAUUUGAGCAGUAAUUCGAAAAACUUUGAAAAUGCAAAUCGCGUUGAGUGGUUAACUCGAAAACUAUUUAUAAGCUUCCGGCAACCAAAGGAUGUAGAUUUGAAGAAGGAGGACUUCAGCUUUCCACGGAAGCCACUUUUACCCAUAAGAUCGGUUGCCCUUAUUUAAAGCCGCUUCAAUUAUUAUGAACUAAA